UGGGGAAUUUUGGACAAUGGGCGCAAGCCUGAUCCAGCCAUGCCGCGUGAGUGAAGAAGGCCUUCGGGUUGUAAAGCUCUUUCGGCCGGGAAGAAAUCGCACAGGUUAAUACCUUGUGUGGAUGACGGUACCGGAAUAAGAAGCACCGGCUAACUACGUGCCAGCAGCCGCGGUAAUACGUAGGGUGCGAGCGUUAAUCGGAAUUACUGGGCGUAAAGCGUGCGCAGGCGGUUUUGUAAGACAGAUGUGAAAUCCCCGGGCUCAACCUGGGAACUGCAUUUGUGACUGCAAGGCUAGAGUAUGGCAGAGGGGGUGGAAUUCCACGUGUAGCAGUGAAAUGCGUAGAGAUGUGAGGAACACCGAUGGCGAAGGCAGCCCCCUGGGCCAAUACGUGACGCU
rnacentral:rRNA from 1 species